CCCUUCUGUUGCUUUUCUGGAGCUUGGGUGUUUAAAGUGAGCUCUCCGAUUUAGAUCAGCCCCUUCCUGAAAUCUUAAGCCCAGAGAAGCUGGCGGGGAAACCUCUUUCCCACGUUGGUCGCCAAGCACGCACCCAAAGGCUCUGUGGAUCCAAAUAAGCUGCGAGGCUCUGCCGUCCUGUGAGCAUUUACUGGGAAGUAAGCACCGCCGAACUCAAGGGGUCUGAUUCCCGAGGGCCAGCUUGGCUGCCCCGGAGCAAACCGGCCCGAGGGUUUUGCAGCAGCCUGGCUUCCCUUUUGCUAAGCAAGCGGGCAGUCCCUGCCUCUGGAUCCGACGGGGCCAGCUCCUGGCCCCCCGACGGAAGCCGAGCGCUCGGCCGCCUGCUGGGAUUCAGAGCCGCGGCUGCUCUUUCUUUCGGAGGCCGGUGGCGUGAGCUAGUGAGGGCCAGUUCCUUCCCCCUGACCACCCAGGCUGGCCGGGUCUGCUUCCCCCACCCCGCCCCGCUCUCAGGCAUUUCCUUCCGCAGGUGUAGCGGCAGCAUUGUGCUGUGUGUCAUCACCUCCGCCAGACUGCAGAGCCCUCCCUUCCCAAGCCUGGAAAGGCGGCGGCGGCGGCGGCAACAGAGGCAAGCGCGCUCGGCCAAAGGGUGGCUUUCUGGGGAGUCUCUCUUUCUCUCUCCUCACACGCUUCAGUGGGAUCUGACAGGAAAUCAGAAACUCAGGAGGAGGAGGACAGAAAUGGCGAAGAAGGUUUCUUGGAGAACUAAGCGCCGCUUCCAGUACAAUCUACUGAGCAUGCCUACUGAAGAGUAAGCCACACUGAGGUCAAUAGGAGUUACUCCCAGACAAGACUCAAGAAAUGCAAGGCAAAGUGAAGCGGCUACAAUACCAAAAGCGAGAAGGAUCCUGAAAACCUAUUAAGAUCAAUUCCUUAUUGAACGGAGGCUAUUGCCCUUAAAAAA